rnacentral:rRNA from 1 species
AACGAACGCUGGCGGCAGGCCUAACACAUGCAAGUCGAGCGCCCCGCAAGGGGAGCGGCUGACGGGUGAGUAACACGUGGGAACGUGCCCGAAGGUACGGAACAACUCCGGGAAACUGGAGCUAAUACCGUAUGUGACCGAGAGGUGAAAGAUCUAUCGCCUUCGGAGCGGCCCGCGUCUGCUUAGGUAGCUGGUGGGGGAAUGGCCUACCAAGCCUAGGAUCAGUAGCUGGUCUGAGGGGUGCAUCAGCCACACUGAGACUGAGACACGGCCCAGACUGCUACGGGAGGCAGCAGUGGGGAAUGUUGGCCCAUGGGAGCAAGCCUGAUACAGCCAUGCCGCGUGGAUGAUGAAGACCCUAGGGUUGUAAAAUCCUUUCGUCAGGGACGAUAAUGGUGGUACCUGAAGAAGAAGCCCCGGCUAACUUCGUGCCAGCCGCCGCGGUAC